AAGAGUGAAUAACUUUCAGAUUUUUGAGUGGCCCAUUUGUACCUUGUAAUGGCUGUCAGACCUAGAAGUGUUCGGUUAUAAUGUGAGUCAAGAAACUAGGCUAAGUACUGACAAAGAAAAUGGGUUUUCCCUCUAUCCACGAGCUGACUUCAGUGAGUGGAAGACACUCACUUUAAAAGCUGAGAAGCCAAUGCCAAUAUCCAUCAGCUAGGAGAUAUUCAGCUAAGAUUGCUUAUAACUUAGUGAAGUAAGGGAAGGCUAGGUAUUUGCCUAUUCAAUCAACAUAAGUAUAAAAGGAUUAUAUUUUUUAUAUUUCAUUGUUCAUAUUAUUUGUCCCCUUUCAUUGAAUAAUUUUAUCAAGUAGUUUAGGAGUAUUCAACUGAUCGAGGAUCUUCUGGUCAACCCUCUCCACAAACAUCUUGCCUUGGCAAGGAGAUGACCUUGUAUUCUCAAAGGCUAUACCAGUUGUGUGUAUACAGCUGUAUUGCUGCCUUACUCCUCCCAAAAGGAUGGAAAAUUCAGGAUCUAGCCUGGAUGUAAACACUGAAAGGAGGGGAAGAGCCAAGAUGGUGGCUUAGUAGCAGCAAAACCUGGAACAUCUCUGAGAAUCCUCCCAAACCAAAAUCAUUCCCAUAAUACACAAACUUCAUGCAUUUUGAGUGGCAGAUGGCUGAAAAUACCUUCAUCUUCCUCAAUUCCUAAUUCUACUUCAAGGUGCUGCCCAGGACUUCUCAAAAGAAAGAAUUCUAAUGACGAUCAAAUGAGAUAACAUAUGAAAAAAAUGUUUUGAAAGUCUAAAAGUUCUACAAAUGACUAUCAGUAUUACUAAUCUUGAACAAGUCAUUUUACCUCUAUCCACCUAUUUUCUAAUCAAUAAAACAAAGAG
rnacentral:lncRNA from 1 species